AUUUUAUUCUAUACUACAUAAAACUAUUUUUAUUGGAAUACAAUUAACUAGAACGUCAAUAUCUAUACUAUAAUAUAAAUUAGUAGGUGGAGUACGAUUGCGCAUGUUUUACCUUUUUGGGUUUACAAUUACAAAGAACAUUAUUUUUACUUUGUACGACUGCAAGUUAAAUUAGAAGCUCCGUUGCCAAUUUUUUUAUAACAAAUAUCAGAGUUGUUCCAACGAUGCCUUGAAGAGUUCCCUCGGCACCCACGGGAGCUAGUUCUGCUGCGUACGAAAUGGCAGCGGAGUACGCUAAUGCGUACGUUAUACCAUUGAGUAGUUCGACUGGUAAUACACAAACGGGA